GACGAACGCUGGCGGCGUGCUUAAUACAUGCAAGUCAACUGAACUUGAGGUAGCAAUAUCACAAGAGAGGUGGCGCACGGGUGAGUAACACGUAGGUAAUCUGCCUUUAGGUCUGACAUAAUUCCGCGAAAGCGGGACUAAUAUCAGAUGAUGCAGCGGCUCGACAUCGAGACAGUUGUUAAACCUUCGGGGCCGUAAAGAUGAGCCUGCGUCNGAUUAGGUAGUUGGCGGAGUAAAAGACCCACCAAGCCUGCGAUCAGUAGCUGGUCUGAGAGGAUGAUCAGCCACACUGGGAACUGAGACACGGUCCAGACUCCUACGGGAGGCAGCAGUAAGGAAUAUU
rnacentral:rRNA from 1 species